GACAACCUGGUUGAUCCUGCCAGUAGUCAUAUGCUUGUCUCAAAGAUUAAGCCAUGCAUGUCUCAGUACAAGCCAAAUUAAGGUGAAACCGCGAAAGGCUCAUUAAAUCAGUUAUGGUUCCUUAGAUCGUACCAACAUUUACUUGGAUAACUGUGGUAAUUCUAGAGCUAAUACAUGCAAACAGAGCUUCGACCGGAGACGGAAGAGGCGCUUUUAUUAGAUCAAAACCAAUCGGCGGCGGGUUCGCUUGCGGGCUCGUCGUCGUUUUCACUGACGAAUCUGAAUAACUUUCUGCUGAUCGCACGGUCUCGCACCGGCGACGCAUCUUUCAAAUGUCUGCCUUAUCAACUGUCGAUGGUAGGUUCUGUGCCUACCAUGGUUGUAACGGGUAACGGGGAAUCAGGGUUCGAUUCCGGAGAGGGAGCCUGAGAAACGGCUACCACAUCCAAGGAAGGCAGCAGGCGCGCAAAUUACCCACUCCCGGCACGGGGAGGUAGUGACGAAAAAUAACGAUACGGGACUCAUCCGAGGCCCCGUAAUCGGAAUGAGAACAAUUUAAAUCCUUUAACGAGGAUCAAUUGGAGGGCAAGUCUGGUGCCAGCAGCCGCGGUAAUUCCAGCUCCAAUAGCGUAUAUUAAAGUUGUUGCGGUUAAAAAGCUCGUAGUCGAAUCUGUGUCCCGCGCCGCCGGUUCGUCGCUCGCGGCGUUUAACUGGCGUGUCCGCGGGACGUCCUGCCGGUGGGCUUAGCCUUUUCAUUAAGGCGGCCCAAUCUUAAUCCCGCCGCGGUGCUCUUCACCGAGUGUCGAGGCGGGCCGGCACGUUUACUUUGAACAAAUUAGAGUGCUUAAAGCAGGCUAAAACUUCGCCUGAAUACUUCGUGCAUGGAAUAAUGGAAUAGGACCUCGGUUCUAUUUUGUUGGUUUUCGGAACCCCGAGGUAAUGAUUAAUAGGAACGGAUGGGGGCAUUCGUAUUGCGACGUUAGAGGUGAAAUUCUUGGAUCGUCGCAAGACGGACAGAAGCGAAAGCAUUUGCCAAAAACGCUUUCAUCGAUCAAGAACGAAAGUUAGAGGUUCGAAGGCGAUCAGAUACCGCCCUAGUUCUAACCAUAAACUAUGCCAGCUAGCGAUCCGCCGAAGUUACUUCUAUGACUCGGCGGGCAGCUUCCGGGAAACCAAAGCUUUCGGGUUCCGGGGGAAGUAUGGUUGCAAAGCUGAAACUUAAAGGAAUUGACGGAAGGGCACCACCAGGAGUGGAGCCUGCGGCUUAAUUUGACUCAACACGGGAAACCUCACCAGGCCCGGACACCGGAAGGAUUGACAGAUUGAGAGCUCUUUCUUGAUUCGGUGGGUGGUGGUGCAUGGCCGUUCUUAGUUGGUGGAGCGAUUUGUCUGGUUAAUUCCGAUAACGAACGAGACUCA
rnacentral:rRNA from 1 species